rnacentral:rRNA from 1 species
CGCGUAGGCGGCUUGCCAAGUCAGGGGUGAAAUCCUGCAGCUCAACUGUAGAAGUGCCUUUGAUACUGGCGAGCUCGAGGGAGGUAGGGGUGGGUGGAACUUCUGGUGGAGCGGUGAAAUGCGUUGAUAUCAGAAGGAACGCCGGUGGCGAAAGCGACCCACUGGAUCUCUACUGACGCUGAGGCGCGAAAGCUAGGGGAGCAAACG